rnacentral:rRNA from 1 species
ACGGGAGGCAGCAGUGGGGAAUAUUGCACAAUGGGCGAAAGCCUGAUGCAGCAACGCCGCGUGAAGGAAGAAGGUCUUCGGAUCGUAAACUUCUGUUCUAAGGGAAGAUAAUGACGGUACCUUAGGAGCAAGUCCCGGCUAACUACGUGCCAGCAGCCGCGGUAAUACGUAGGGGGCGAGCGUUAUCCGGAAUUAUUGGGCGUAAAGAGUACGUAGGUGGUUUCCUAAGCAUGGGGUUUAAGGCAAUGGCUUAACUAUUGUUCGCCCCAUGAACUGGGUUACUUGAGUGCUGGAGGGGAAAGCGGAAUUCCUAGUGUAGCGGUGAAAUGCGUAGAUAUUAGGAGGAACACCAGUGGCGAAGGCGGCUUUCUGGACAGUAACUGACACUGAGGUACGAAAGUGUGGGGAGCAAACAGGAUUAGAUACCCUGGUA